rnacentral:rRNA from 1 species
GGGGAAUUUUCCGCAAUGGGGGCAACCCUGACGGAGCAACGCCGCGUGCGGGACGACGCCUCUUGGGGUGUAAACCGCUUUUGCCGAGGAAGAGAACGGACGGUACUCGGCGAAUCAGGACCGGCUAACUACGUGCCAGCAGCCGCGGUAAUACGUAGGGUCCGAGCGUUGUCCGGAGUGACUGGGCGUAAAGCGCGCGCAGGCGGCUCGUGAGGCGGCAUGUGAAAGCCCCGUGCUCAACGCGGGAGGGUCAUGGCGAACCGACGAGCUUGAGGCCGGUAGAGGUGGGUGGAACUCCUGGUGGAGUGGUGAAAUGCGUAGAGAUCAGGAAGAACACCCGUGGCGAAGGCGGCCCACUGGGCCGGUACUGACGCUGAGGCGCGAAGGCGUGGGGAGCGAAAGGGAUUAGAUACCCCUGUAGUCA